UCUGGCCCCUGACUCUGGGAUAACAGUUGGAAACAGCUGCUAAUACCGGAUACGAGCUUCGAAGGCAUCUUCAGAAGCUGGAAAGAACUUCGGUCAGGGAUGAGCUCGCGGCCUAUCAGCUAGUUGGUGAGGUAAUGGCUCACCAAGGCGUCGACGGGUAGCCGGCCUGAGAGGGUGACCGGCCACACUGGGACUGAGACACGGCCCAGACUCCUACGGGAGGCAGCAGUGGGGAAUAUUGCACAAUGGGCGCAAGCCUGAUGCAGCAACGCCGCGUGAGGGACGACGGCCUUCGGGUUGUAAACCUCUUUUAGCAGGGAAGAAGCGAAAGUGACGGUACCUGCAGAAAAAGCGCCGGCUAACUACGUGCCAGCAGCCGCGGUAAUACGUAGGGCGCAAGCGUUAUCCGGAAUUAUUGGGCGUAAAGAGCUCGUAGGCGGUCUGUCGCGUCUGCUGUGAAAACUGGAGGCUCAACCUCCAGCCUGCAGUGGGUACGGGCAGACUAGAGUGCGGUAGGGGAGAUUGGAAUUCCUGGUGUAGCGGUGGAAUGCGCAGAUAUCAGGAGGGAACACCGAUGGCGAAGGCAGAUCUCUGGGCCGUAACUGACGCUGAGGAGCGAAAGGGUGGGGAGCAAACAGGCUUAGAUACCCUGGUAGUCCACCCCGUAAAACGUUGGGAACUAGUUGUGGGGUCCAUUCCACGGAUUCCGUGACGCAGCUAACGCAUUAAGUUCCCCGCCUGGGGAGUACGGGCCGCAAGGCUAAAACUCAAAGGAAUUGACGGGGACCCGCACAAGCGGCGGAGCAUGCGGAUUAAUUCGAUGCAACGCGAAGAACCUUACCAAGGCUUGACAUAUACGAGAACGGGCCAGAAAUGGUCAACUCUUUGGACACUCGUAAACAGGUGGUGCAUGGUUGUCGUCAGCUCGUGUCGUGAGAUGUUGGGUUAAGUCCCGCAACGAGCGCAACCCUCGUUCUAUGUUGCCAGCACGUAAUGGUGGGAACUCAUGGGAUACUGCCGGGGUCAACUCGGAGGAAGGUGGGGAUGACGUCAAAUCAUCAUGCCCCUUAUGUCUUGGGCUUCACGCAUGCUACAAUGGCCGGUACAAAGGGCUGCAAUACCGUAAGGUGGAGCGAAUCCCAAAAAGCCGGUCCCAGUUCGGAUUGAGGUCUGCAACUCGACCUCAUGAAGUCGGAGUCGCUAGUAAUCGCAGAUCAGCAACGCUGCGGUGAAUACGUUCCCGGGUCUUGUAC
rnacentral:rRNA from 1 species